CGAGUCGUUUUUUAAAGAAAAAAACAAAGAAAAAAAAAAGAUGCCUAAUUGUACUCAACACUGCUUAAAAUAUGCUAUAAAUCUGGAUCUUUAAGAAAAAAAGAAAACGUUAUUACUUGGAGAUGGAACCGGUGUUAGCGACGAACAGUAUCAUCGGUUGAGACAGAGUUUGAUUGGACGUAAAAAAAAAUUGCAAAAAGACACGCUCGUGUUUUUGAAUAGGUUUGAGAGGGAGAGAGAGAGAGAGAGAGAGAGA